rnacentral:tmRNA from 1 species
GCGUUGCCUCAGCUUGCGCGGUUACAGUGAUGCGCUCAUAAUUCGCUCACGGUCGUAAUUCCGGCAAUCUGGAAGCGUUCUGGACGGCGGUUCGAUUCCGCCCACCUCCACCACUGAGGGGGUGUCAUGGUUUCGACAGGGCGAUAGAAGGGGAGCAGGCGGCCCGAGAGGCGACGGACGUAAUCCGCGCAAAUUAGUAAACGCCAACGAUGAGCGUUUCGCAUUGGCCGCCUAAAAACGGUCUGCUGAGGACAUAGCCGUCCAAGAAACAGAAUGGCUAUCGGCGGGGACAUAGUCUUGUAUUGUGUCCCCGUCGUCA